UCUUACAGCCAUAUCACCCUGCUUUAGCCAUAUCACCCUGCAAUUCACAACUGGCAACCCACUGAAGCUCAGCAGGUUUGAGCCUGGUCAGUACCAGAAUGGGAGACCUCCUGAGAAAAACUAGGUUGCUGCUGGAA
rnacentral:rRNA from 1 species